GACAUAAAAGUUCCAUCAGUUAGUUCAGUUCCGACACUCUUGGGUAGCAAGGGUGUAUAAACCUACUUGGACACUCAUCAAUUAAAUUCCAGUAAACUAUUAUAGGAAUAGUUUAGGGGAUACAAAACAUUAUUCCUAUUACAAGGAAUCACGCAAGACUCAAUUCAUUCAUGAGUCUAUACCAACGUUUUAUUUACAAGUAUGCAUUCUUCAUAACAAGGAUAAUCUUUUCAUACAAAAGGUAUUUCAUUAUAUUACUCGUGAACUUGUUGUUAGCAAUCAUGUGAGACAUAUGGCUUUGUUAGUACCAAAACGAAAGUCCCCGUCUUUAACCAGAGUCUCCUGGGGGGAGAGCGCGAAUUUGUGUAUAGAUCUAUAUGGGUUUGACGAACCCGCACCUAAACUGUAAGCUCCAGUUAGAUCGGUAGGUCUGGGGUGACAAAUGGCGACAUUAGUACCAUGUCUAGUAUGGUUAUGAGAAACUUAUAAACAGCGGAAACAACAACUCUUGUACGUAAUAAUAUACAUUUAACUCAAUCAUGCUCAGGGGGUAAUAAAUAUACCAUGGGAUAUUAUUAGCAUGUUCACAAUUCGGGAUAAACACCCUUUUAACCAGUUUUACUUAAACAAAAGACUCACAGGGAUUAUUAAUAACAUAUUCGAUAUAGAUAAACUAUUUUCCGUAUUACCUUUAUAUUGUGACUCAUACACAUAAACGACGAGGUAGACUAUAACUUUUAUAAUAAUAGUUAAAUAAGGGAAAAACCAUCACAUCUACAGUGAUGCUUACUUACAAAACAGUCAGGUCUUGGUAGAAGACUACUUUUAUACUAGUAGGAAAUUUAGGAUUUCCUGGGGUUUUCAAACGUUUACAAUUACUUACAAACAUUUUCCAACUUUUUCCAAAAGUUUACAAGUCUUUACUUCACAGUUUUUACAAAUCAAAGACACAUUAAUACUUAUGAAUUCACCAGCUUUAUUGCUGAUACUCGCUUUCAAAAUAACUUGUAUUCUCAGGUCACAAAUAGACAGGUACGACGACCUGGUUUUGUGAAGACGGAGAAAUCAAGACUCCUCUUUUAUUUUGAUUAGUUAUCAUGUUGUCUUAUACUAUGAAAGAACACACUUGUAAUCAAAAUUAUACUAUUAAUGCAAUGGAUGAUGUUGUUGCUUGUUUACUACUUUACAUUUGUUGUGAUACAUUACAUGACAUCCUCCGCCCCAGAACGUUUCCGCCGUUCUCGGUUUUGGGGUGGGACAGAUUGGUAUCAGAGCACUGUUUAUAGUGAAUUGAGUAUAUCAACCCAUAAAAGAUAUACUAACUACAAAUACAAUGGGAUUAAAAAUACUCUGACUUAGUGUUUAUACAUCUAAAUAAUAAAAUAUUUAAGUAAGUAUACGUGCCUGCAUUCAUACUAAAAGUGGAGUCACAACGACAAGAACAAAAGUAUUACGAUUGUUGAAUAUCACAAGUAAGCUUGGGGAUGUAUAGUCAGUCUUGGGAGUGGCAUAGCCUAAUCAACUAUGCUGGUCCGAGGAGUGAUUAGCAUAUGCCCAAGAAUGGUUGUGAUAUGGCAACAAGUCUAAAAACUUACCAACAUUACCACAAUGAGAACAUUAUAACAGAACCUAAGUCUAAAAUACCAUAGGGGUGUUUUGGGUUACCAUAAUUACUUACUUGAGAACUAAAAAGGAUCUUCAUUACUAAGUUGAUAGUUGCUAAGUGGAUACACUAAGGCUAUAUGUAACUAGGAUGUUAUAGACUUAGAAUCGGUGAAAUUUUUUCUUUACCCCUAUUCCUUGUGAAUUUGGAGUUAAGGUCACUUAUUCGAAAGCCUAUCCUGUGUUGAUUACAUAUGACUGGUAUGCACUUUAAAAAUAGAGAUGUAACUAAUGAAGAUUUUCUAAUAAUUAUCUAGAUAGUUCGUCUAAUAAUUAUUUCCUUACCCCAAUUCUUGCGUAGAUAACAUGGCUGGACUCCAUCCCCACGACAACCCGUACCUUCCGAACGAAGGCAAUGUUGGAUGGUUUAAAGAAGAACCCAAGAAUGAUCACCCAAUCCCUUUGAAUGAUCACCAUGCUUAAAACCUUUCGGAUGUUGAUAACUCCGAACCCGAGGUUGAGAACCUACCCCCGGUAGCUCCCGUUCCAAAUCCUAACCCUCUUCCGGCUUUUCAUGGCCCGACACCUCCUUGGGUAGAAUGCUUGGAAACAUGGAGCAAAGAUUAAGAUCAACCUAUGUCGUUUAAUGGAAACUGAAGCUUCUACAAUGUAAACGAAGGGAACUCAGCAGACAAAGUUCUACCAAUCCUGAUCCGUAGAGUUGCCCGCAACGAAAUUCAGUGCAGGACGGCUCUCCAUCGUAUCGCAGAGGUUGAUACCAAUGCAGGAAUGCAUACCAACCGCACCAAUCGCCUUGAACACACAAGUGAGAGAUCUGAGAGAAACCAUGAGACCCUGUUGCAAGCACUAGCUGAAACCCGAGCCGAAGUCAUAGAGCUCCGAGUACGCUAGAGGGUGUACGAAAGAAACCUACUUGAUAUGGAACGUCAACUAGCUUAACUAAGGGUUCACCAUAGGGGUGACCGUCGCCAGUAGGAGAUGCUUUACUUUCCUUCUUUGUUUUAAAGAAUCGUGUUCCUGUCUAUGUUUUGUGUAGCACUUUUCUUUGUGACUACCUUGUACUGUAAGUACUUUUAGUUAAGUCUUUAUGCUAUCAAAGACUUUUCUACUCUGAAUAGGAUGUAAGACCUACAACAAAGUCAAUUUCCCCAAACCUAUUACAUCUUCAACAUCAAUGAUAUUGACAGUCGGCUAAUUUCCGUGUCAAUAUUUGUUCAAAUGCUUUCAUUAGAGUCUAUCUGAAACCCACUCUAGCCAAGUUAUUGGACUUGGGUAAUUUAGCUCAGGAAUCAUUUCCAAGUCUCAUUCAAUGGUUGGAUCAUGUUAUCUGCCAACCAAUAAUACCCCGGUUUGGACGAUAAACAUUUUGAGACCAUUCCAUUAAUUUACUUCUACUCCGUACUAGGACUGCAUCAUAGGGAUGUAGGUCACACCUUCGUGAACAUACUCUUAUUCCGUAUUGGGACUACAUCGUAGGGAUGUAGGUCAAACCUUCGAGAACAUACUUCUAUUCUUNUCUUAUUCGUAUUGGGACUACAUCGUAGGGAUGUAGGUCAAACCUUCGAGAACAUACUUCUAUUCUUUACAUGAACGAUCGAACUACGUCUAGGUUCAACCAUACUCGCUCACAAAUUCAUUUUUCUUUCUGUGUAACAGAAUCAUGUCGCCGAAGAAAAAUGAUCAACCCAUCAACCAAACACCAACUCUUCAGAUUGAUGCAGCUACCUUUCAAGCUACAGUCUCGGCUACCAUGUCAGCUGUUCUGACCCGCCUUAACACUAACAACGCGAAUGUUAGCGGGAUUGUUAACAAUAAUCCCAAUCCAAGUAACAAUCAAGUACCUCAACGAGCAACAAACUACCACGACACCCCGAAUCCUAAGCCCAAGAAUAACAAACGAAAGUUAUGGGCUAGAGCUAAAGGCAAAUCACCCCAAGGGGCGAGCAAAAGACAACAAACUGUGGCAGCCUUCGCAGCCACGACUUCUGUACCUCCUACUACCAUCCCUUCUGGUAUCCCAGUUAUCCCUAACCCAGCCAUACAAUAUGCUGGCAAUCUCCCAAAGUGCAACAAAUGCAACUAUCACCAUCAUGGACCUUGUCGGAAAAUGCAAUGCUUAAACUGCAAUAAAAAGGGACACACCGUCCGUUACUCCAAGACUCGGAUCCAACACAUUACUUCAACCACCAAUGUCGAAAUCUCUCGAAUAUGCCAUCUAUGUGGCGUAAUGGGACACUUCAAGAGGGACUGUCCAAUAGAGGAGAACGACGGCGAAUCCGGAGGAGUUUGACCUCAUAAUGGAAAGAGGCAACGAAGGACCCUACUAUAGUAUAGGUUCACUUCCAAUUGUCAGUAUUAUGUAUGUUUUUUUAAAACAUGUUUAAAACUAGUGCAACUUGAGUCUUAUCUUUUGCGAGAUCCCGUCAGGUAAGGGACCCUCGUGCUGCGUAUACUUGCCUUUUGUAGUAUACUUUGUUCGUAACAGUAUUCCUGUAGUUACUCUAAAGUACUGUAACUCUGUUAAAAAGUUGCACUGUUGUGUUUUGUCUGUAACGCAUUUAUGAUCAAAUCUAGUGCCUUUAUUUCCAAGUGAUUCUGAUUUCAUCAUACGAUCAGAGUCUAUUUAAUACUCACAAUACCAGUUUCGUGCGUAAAUCUCUUUCUCCGAAAUCAUCUUUCUAACAAAACUAUCACUUCAGAACUCCGAAGUACCCAUGCGUAGAGUAUCUCAUGUUUCUUACCCUUUCCAAAGAAACCUCAGCAAACCUCCUCGAAGUACCACUCGUGCAGUACGUCAAGUUAAAUCCAAAGACCCACAGUUUCAAUCUUAAUUAUAUACGACUCGUAUACCCGAGACUGUGAUUGAUGAACCUGAUAUGGGUUCUACGAUGAACUUCAGGACGGAGACUGCCCAAGACUGAGAGUGAUCGUGCUUCCGUGAGAAUAAACUUAGAAAUACCUAUCCUUUUCCCUAAUUCAUGAGUAGUCAUACUUUCUUUUAGAACUUCACGGCAUCUAAUCCACCCCCAAGGUUUUGACAUCAUAAUCAGUAGGAGUUGGUUAAGUCUACAUCGAGCCGACAUCAGGUGCUUUGAUAAAGCAGUUCAUCUUAACCUCCCUAUCAAAGAACCUCUUGUUAUUUACGGAGACAAAUCAAGUACGAACCUUCGCAUCAUUUCGUGUAUUUAAGCUCAUAAGCGCUUACGAAGGGAAUAUCACACAUUCCUUGCACACAUCGUCAAUAUGAGUAAAGAAGUGAAGGAUAUUCAGAACAUCCCAAAAGUACGCAACUUUCCCAACACCUUUCCAGAAGAACUACCAGGAUUACCGCCACAACGUCAAUUCGAGUUCAGAAUCAACUUAGUUACAAGGGCUACCUCAGUAGCCAAAUCACCUUAUCUUCUAACUCUGACUAAGAUACUGGAACUUCCCAGACAGCUAAACAAACUCCUCAGAAGAGGAUUCUUUAGGCCAAGUUUCUCACUUGGAGGAGCACCAAACUUGUCUAUAAACAAGAAAGAGCAUUACCAAUGCUAACGUAAGCCUGGUGUACCGCACCGAUAUUAUCCCUCUCAAAUAGGAUAGAAGAUUUCGUGGUGAAAGGCAAUGCAUCCAACCAAGGGCUUGGUUGCGUUCUUAUACAAGAGGAAAGGCCACUGCCUAUACCUCACGACAGCUUAAGACGCAAGAAUUUAACUAUACAACACAUGAUCUUGAGUCAGGAGCAAUGGUAAUUUCUCUGAAGAUCUGGAGACACUACUUGUAGGGUACAAGGUGUAAUACUCUCACAGACCACAAAAACACUCAACACACAUUUGACAAAGAGGAUUUAUCAUACCAGUGAAGUCAAACGAAAGAAGCAAAGUCAUAUCCCGAUAGUGAAAUGUUCGUUGGAAUGCCAAGCGAGGACCUGAGUUCACUUAAGAACACGAGAAGCAAAUAAAACUUCUAUCUGUAGCAUGAUUAUCAAUUCUGCUUAAACUCUAAUUUCGGGACGAAAUUCUCUCUAACGGGGGGAUGAUGUGACAACCCGAUAUUUAGAGACAAUGUAAUGUAAAACCAGUCAAAUUUAGGUCAAAAUAUAACUUUCCUAAAAUCUUAUUUGGGUUAAAUAAAUUGGUAGGAAUCGUAUCAAGGUUUUUGUACAUAUAAAGAACACUAAAAUCCGAGUUAUAACGAAGAAGUUAUGACCAAUCGAAGAUUCUCGACAAAACCGCCAACACCGAUAAACGAAAAACGCAAAGUUUCAAUACAAUAGUUUUUAGCCUUAAGUAUCUAAAUGAAAUUUGUAGAUAUCAUUAAACCGUGAGCGUACAUAAAAAUAACGUCCAAAUCUGACUUGGUAUGAGGAAGUUAUGAUUUUUCCAAGAUCCGGAUAUAGCAGUAGACAGCUAAAAACUCGAAAUAUAGAUCGAGAGACUUUUGGCCGAAUCAACCUAAAUGAGAACCGAAGGUCUCAACAAUAGUAGCGCAACGGCGAAAAGUCUAUCAAGAACGGACAUCGGAUGAAGAAGUUAUGGAUUUUUAACGGACUUUUCGUGUCCCAGCACGUUAAAAAUUAAGUCAAUAUUUGCCGAGGAAGUCUAAACGAGAGUUGUAGAUUCAGCUAUGCGUGCAUAUAAAGAAUGUCGAAAACAGAGCUCGUACGCAGAAGUUGCGGAUUUUACAAGUUUGAGACACAAAAUUCGAGGCUGUCAGGUUGGCCACGACAUGGCAUAGCGACUGAUGGGGGUUUUCAGGCUUGGCAGAAGACGUCUCGUCCAUGGAAGAGGAUAAGGAUCGACCCCACGAUGUGGCAACCUUAUGGCCACGACGUGGGACCCCAAAAGUUGGCCUAUAAAUAGAUUUCAAGGGUUUUCCGAGUUAGGUGCUCAUCUCUUUCCAACUAAGUGAUGUUACUCUACGAAAUUACCUCGAUAAACCAUCCCGAAGCCCCGGUUUUCACACUCAAGUCCCAAAGGAAGUUCUACACUCUCGAGAGUCCCGAGAAUCCCGAGAUUUUCCCGCGUUUUCAACUUUUCCUGUCGAAGUUCUGCUCGAUUAUCAUCUCGCUUUCUUCGAUCUAUCAUGUGAGUUCAUACCCCUAUAAACUACACUUUCAAAUGUUUAUCAAUGAUUUUUAUACACUUUUAAGGGGGGAAUACAACUAAACACACGGUUAUCCCCGUGUGAAAGACAUAAAUCUUGGUUAUACUUUUUGGUUAUAUAAUCAAUCACAUGUGAUUUAUAACUAACAUACAAUUGGACUUACUACACUUUUAGCCGUUUCACCAAAUAGAGUACUUCAAAUAGCUUUCUCAAACGUUUUUACAUGUUAAAACACUUUUAGAAACUGUCUUACAAAAUGUAUGUUUCCUUUUUGAAUCUGUUAUAGUUGUGCUUCAAACAAAGGUUUUCUUACACUUAAACUGUCUUGUCAACUGUUUUCGAAUUGUUUUAUAAACUGACAUCAAGUCAUAAAUUUUUAUUUAUUAAACUUUUCAAAGGUUUUACAAAACCUCUUUUAUACUUUUAUAUUGUUAAAUGCUUGCCUAUAUACGUAUAGUUAGAUAAGAAAGGUUUAAAAGACUUGGAACGACUAGCACGCCUUAUUUCUUUUUCUGAUCUCGUUGGGAUGUGGCCUUAGGGUAUCAGUUAUUCGUCCGAAUGUCGUCUAAAUAUUAGUUAUAUAGAUCAUGUAUACCUAUAUAGACAUAAAAGUUCCAUCAGUUAGUUCAGUUCCGACACUCUUGGGUAGCAAGGGUGUAUAAACCUACUUGGACACUCAUCAAUUACAUUCCAGUAAACUAUUAUAGGAAUAGUUUAGGGGAUACAAAACAUUAUUCCUAUUACAAGGAAUCACGCAAGACUCAAUUCAUUCAUGAGUCUAUACCAACGUUUUAUUUACAAGUAUGCAUUCUUCAUAACAAGGAUAAUCUUUUCAUACAAAAGGUAUUUCAUUAUAUUACUCGUGAACUUGUUGUUAGCAAUCAUGUGAGACAUAUGGCUUUGUUAGUACCAAAACGAAAGUCCCCGUCUUUAACCAGAGUCUCCUGGGGGGAGAGCGCGAAUUUGUGUAUAGAUCUAUAUGGGUUUGACGAACCC
rnacentral:lncRNA from 1 species